CACAGUGUUCAUAUUAAUUCUUUAUUUCUUCUGAUGGCACCGAUUGGAGAGGAAAAGCUCCAGGCAUCCUGUCUACAUAAUUUAAGCAUGAAACAAAAGCCCAGCAACACUUUGUAGGGUGCACUUAAAAUAGAAGGGGCUUUCAGUUUUUGUUGUGGGAGAGGAGCAUUGUCUUAGCUCCUCUGUUAGGUAAAAAUCAUUUAUGAUGAUGCAGCUUAUCCCUUGGGUCCUGAAUUGAGCUAUUUCGGUGCCUGGUGUUGCAGCAGCCAUUAACAAGGUGAGCAAAGUGUCCCAGCUAUCUGAGCACAGCUCUGCAGGGCAUUGUGCAAGCUGAGGUGCACUCACACCACCCACACACUGAACCUGCGGGGUGUGGGCCAGUGUGGAUGAAAACAUGGGCUUAUCUUAUCAGGGUUUGCUAACACAACCUCCAGCACAGCCCCACAACAGCUGGCAGGUUCCACACAUGUGUGGUGCUUUCUGUGUUGGGUGAGAGCAGCGAUAACUCAAGUUUUGCCUAAAAUUUUCUUAGCCCUCCCCAUUUGAAGGACAAUUCAAGCUGCUUCCAGACCACAUCAUUAAGGUCUGAUGUAACCCUUUGCGUCUCUCUGUGAACCUUCUCUCAUUGCUUUCAUGACUUAAUGGACAUUUGUAAACGGAUCUCCACAGUGGAUUUCCUGCAUCGUGAGCGCCUCACUCCCCAGAAAAGAGCUGAAACUGGCUGCCCUUCCCACUACUAUUCACAAUCUGAUUACCUGGGAAAGCAGUUUAGAGGUUCCUACUUUCCCUCUGAUUGGGAAUAGACAAGAAAUAUUCCUGGUGUGGAUUAUGAUACUCCAGUUAUCUAAGUGUAGUGUUGCUAAAUUAAGAUGACACCAUUAAAUCUUGCUUCUUGAACAAACCUUCCUGGUAGCCUUAGUUGCUCUGUCCAUCAUUAGGAGGUGCAAAUAGGACAGAGCCAGGGCUCCUUGCAGUGGUGCCCAUUGCCAGGAGAAGAGGCAAUGGGCACAAACUGCAAGACAAGAGCUUCCAGCUAAAUAGUAGGAAAUAUUUAAUUAUAAGUAACUGAACACUGGAAUAGGUUGCUCAGAAAUAAUAAAAAACCACCUGGACAUUGACUUGGACCCGUGAUCCAUGACCUGAGUGGCCCUGUUUGAGCAGAGGGGUUGGACUAGAUGGGCCCAGAGAUGCCUUCCACACUCAACCUCAUAGAGAGCUUCCAUGAACUCGGAUCCAUGUGUCCUGGUUGACUGUGUGGAUUAGGCCAACGGGAUGUGUAUCCUGAAACCCUUCUUCACAGCAGAUGGUCAACUUAUUACACACCACCAACCACAGAUGUUCUUUUGAAAAUAUCUUACUGAUUCUACUAAAUUUGUCCUGACUUUGGAUCAGGUCUCCAUAAGAUGUUUUGUAUAUUUCAAACAGUUGGUUCAAAAGUCUCAUACGUAUCGGAGCUGUACUCAUGAAUAGACACACAGACACAGGACAGGGUAUCAAGCUUUUAGUUGGCAAAGAAAAAGGCCCAAGACCAAAUGAGCUGAAGUGCUCGGCCAUUACAGAAAAAGACUAUGGAAACAAGACAAAUCAUCAAAACACAAUCACAAAAAAGAAGAGCGGCAGUGGCAGUACGGAGAUUCAGCACAUGGCUGUAUAUGGAGAAAAGUUAUGGAGAGAAAAGCCAUGCUUGCACUGGAAGCAAUGAAAAUGCCUUAUUCCCAUUCCAGCAGCAAAACUACUUGUGGUAAUAAUCACCAGAAAAAUCGGAAGUCCCAUAGCCAAUACCUGACCCAGACAAGUAACCAUAUCUUGGACAAGAUGGCCCUGUUUCAGAGCUGCAUUCUCCAGUUUCAGCUCUGGGACCAUAAUAUUCAUAUCCACCACACUCACCACCACCCUCAUAACAUCCAUCCCCUCCUGAAAAAUGCCCACUUUCAAAGCCGUAACCCUCCCUGCCAGAACUAGAGAUAUCCGUAACCUUCACCACAAGAACUCGAACCCGAAACACCACAGCUGUGACUGCCAGGUGAAAUACAUGACCCUCCACUGAAAGUUCCAGCGUCAUGGGAUACAGAACCACCACUGCCAAAGCUUCCACCAAAACCAGACCCAGAGCCAGAGCCGCCCCCUCCACAGAUGGAGCCUCCACUUCCACUGCCAUAGCUGGAACCUCCAUGACCUGAGCUUCCACCGCCUCCAGAAAUGGACCCUCUCCUGCCAGAUCCGCUGCCAGAGCUCGACCCAAAGCCUCCAGAGCUGUGGCCACCUCCAGACGAGGACCCACCACUGCCAAAGCUUCCUCCGGACGAGGACCCACCACUGCCAAAGCUUCCUCCGACGAGGACCCAGAGCCUCCUCCUCCACAGAUGGAGCCUCCACUUCCACUGCCAUAGCUCGAUCCCCCAUGACCUGAGCUUCCUCCUUCCCCUGAAAUGG
ensembl:lncRNA